rnacentral:rRNA from 1 species
UACGUAGGGUGCAAGCGUUAAUCGGAAUUGCUGGGCGUAAAGCGUGCGCAGGCGGUUUUGUAAGACAGAGGUGAAAUCCCCGGGCUCAACCUGGGAACUGCCUUUGUGACUGCAAGGCUUGAGUGCGGCAGAGGGGGAUGGAAUUCCGCGUGUAGCAGUGAAAUGCGUAGAUAUGCGGAGGAACACCGAUGGCGAAGGCAAUCCCCUGGGCCUGCACUGACGCUCAUGCACGAAGGCCAGGGGAGCAAACAGG